rnacentral:lncRNA from 1 species
GUCAGAAGUGGCCCCUUGUGCCGCGGGGCCCCGCGGAGGGGCCCGGCUUUGUCAAGGAUUAGGAGCUCCCACCCCAGUACCUGCGUAUGUGUUGGUGGGUAUCUGUGUGUGUUUGUGAGUCUGCACUCUCCCCUGAGGUUCUUGCGUACUUGUGCACCCGUUUCUCUGAGCACAUAUUUUUGUGUCCUUGUCACUUUUCGGGAUCUAAAAGUGUGAAUCCGACUCUGAUUACCCUAGAUCCUUGUGUGUGUGUGGGGGGGAUCUAUAGAUCCUUUCAUGCUUCUGAGUCUUAGGUGCUUUGGUACAUCUUUGUUGGUGUCCCUGUGUGUCUGUGUCACUCUAUGUGGGUGCCUACAUCUUGUGUGUGUCUCAGCCCCUGUAUUAUGUUUGGAAGGUUUUUCUGCUUAUGUGUAUCUUCAUGUCACAUGUGCGCGCCUAACUCCGAGUUCCUGAAUGAUUCUGUCUCCAAGAGGGGGGGUGUUUGUGUGUAUGCGUGUGUGUGUGUGUCUUUGUGUCUCUCUAUAUGUUUCGGCAUCUUUGUGUGUCUGUAUUCUGGAGGAUGCAGGAGUAGAUGUUCAGUGUACAACCUGGCCCCCUCUGCACGUCUCCUCCCGCACACGCCCUUGGUCCCUUGUCUUUGCUUAAUCUUUGAAACCCCAGGUCAUGAGCCCCGAGGUUGGCCUGAGCCUGGGCGGUCUUCUUCGGAUAUCUGAGCCUGGGCGCUCCACUGCCGGGAGAAGCCUGGCAAACUAGACUCCAGCACACAGAGCCUGGAGGCGCGGAUCCCCGCGCGGGGCGGGCGGGUGGACCGGGCGCAUUCUGCCCUCUGCUGGCCAUGAUUUGUCCCUGCAAUGCUGCUGGGCGACCGCCUGUUGGCCUUGUUCCAGGACCAGACCCAGACCCUGGCCCUCUCCAGGGCGCACUGAGAGUCCUCUCCUGUUAUAGGCCCUGGCCCUUCAACUCCGGGCGCAAUGUUCCACCCCCCUCCUGUUUCCCGUUCUCUAUCACACCGUCCCCGUUCCCUGCCCUUCCCCUCUACACCUCUCCUGUGCACCCACUCUGCCCCCCACUGCUGAAUGGAGGCUUUUCAGGCUUCCUUGUCCCUCUGGCUGGCGAUUGUGUUCAGGGGGCUCCUUCGCACAGCGCCUGAAAGCAGGGUUUCACUGAAGUACCCCUGAUAGUCUCUGCCGCAGCCGGUGCUCCCGGGCGCAUAGAUUCUUGGCGUUUCUCUCAGCGUCCCUGUUGUAAUCACAGCCCAUGCCACCAGCCACCACCUGGGACAGGCUGCCAGCGCCUGCAACUGGGUGAAGCCAGGCUGCCUUCUCUGGUCCUUCUCUGUUCAGUGUACAACCUGGCCCCCUCAGCACCCCCAUGCACUUCCUGUAGGCCCUGUUCCUUGCCCCUUGUCCGUCUCUCUGUGUUCCCCAUCACCCCAGUUGAGAUGGCCCUCGGGGUCCUGUGCUUACUGCCCCCUGAGGCCCCAGGUCUCUCUCUCUCUCCCAAGCACCACCAGAGCUCCUGUGCCUCCGGAUCACUGUCCCUGCCCAAGAACAAGGCUGCCGCAUAGGGGCCUAGGCCCAGAACCAGCUCCUGCUGUUGGGAGCCAAGCCACACCUGGCUCCGCCUGACCAGCCCUGAGCUCUUGCGUACUGGCGGAUCCCACCCGUUGCCCUGUGACCCACCGCACCAGUGGCCCCUCGCACCCCCUGGUGCUGUCGGACCAGACCCGGAUGCUCUCUGGCUUGGACUUCAGUGGCAGAACCAGCAGGGGAUUGUCUCCAAAACUGAAUCGGCGACUUGAAAUUGCUCUUGAGAAACAAGAAGGCUGGGAAGGAGACUGGUCUCUUCCUAGUCUGCAAGACACCUCAUCUCCACCGAGCCCUGCCCCGUUCCCCUGGCUCCUCUUCUUAAUUCCUCACACACUUCCUCGCAACCCGCUUACUGCGAGCUAGGAGCCAGCACAGCUGGUAGGACUUUCCCCAGGGAGCCUGACCCAGGUUGCCAUGAUUUCGUGGCGGUUUCCUGAUUCCGACCAGAGUGGAGCCAGAGGACCCUCCCGUGUAGAGCCCCAGCACCUCGGCUGGAGGCAUGCGGAUGGGCGGGGAUGGAGCAGGAGCUUCUAGUUUCUGCCCUCAGGGGACAGCCAGGGCCGCUGGAUUGUCCUGGCUGCGGGGGACCUUUGGUUGUCUGGGAGAGCCGCAGCUGGGCCUGGGCCAGGUUAGGAGCUGCUAGUCCCGGGAUCUGACCCACGAGGGAGGGUGCUGGAAGUGCAUUGAGGACACCUCUGCUGCUGGGAAUCUCUGAGCUAGCUGCAGAGGAGCUCCCCUGUAGGUCCCAGCUGAGCAUGGCCGGGCCAUGGGGGUCAGAGGGUCUGGCAGCAUAGAGUAACAUUGUCCUGGCUUCCCCACAGCCCCAUGAAGUGUCCGUGGUCUUCCUGUCUUCCCUGUGAGGGCGGUAGAGCCCCAGAGACCCUGAGCCCAGGCGGAGGGCCAUAGGACCCAGUGACUGGGAAGCCUCUGAGACGGUCUUUCCGCCCCAGGACUGCGGCUGGGUCUCACCUUCCCUGCUGGAAGCUCCUCACCCCCAGGGUGUGGGGCAAGGGUAGCAGGGAGACAGGAACUCACUGGUGAGGCAGUGUGGCCCUGAAUGCCGAGUGUGGGCCGAGUGUGGGCCGUGUCCAGCGUGGGAGAUGAACACACCACAGCCAAGUCCCUCUGCCCUCCUGGCAGGGCACCCUCACCCUCCAGUCACAGACCCAGGACUUUUCAACACAAGGUCAGACUCAUUAGUCCUGGGAUUCUUCCCAGUGUCAGGAGAUCAAUCUCCCUGGUCCCCGCCUUCAGAGAAUGACUGCCCUGGCUGGGUGGCCCAGGGCUGAGGCCUCCCUCUGACCGGGCAGUGGUUAGGUGUGUUCAAGAAUGGGUCUCAGGGAGUCCGCGAGCUCUGGUUCAGGAUGUGGAUGUGGAAUCUCAGAAAAGGUUUACAGUUCUGUGCCUCAGGGCUCUCCUCUGUAAAAUGGGCAUAAUGAUAACAUCUCUCCCAUAGAGUAGCUGAGAGGAUGAAGUAUAAGGACUUGCCCAGGGCCCAGCCAUAGUGGGGCUCCAUGAAUAUUUGGUGAAUAAUUGGAUGGGGAUCCUUGCUUAAAAGGGGGGGCACUUAAGAAAACCACAACUGCCUCCACCUCCUACAGCUAGGGCCUUAGGACAGACCUGACCUAAGCUCAACCAUGUUCCUUCCUUUAGGGCAGGUGAAGCCCAGCUGCAGGCUGAGCACAGGACAUCCCCCAACCACCAGCAGCAGCAGCAGCAGUGCCCAGGCCCCCAGCACAAGCAGCUCAGCCUCCUCCCCUCGUCCCACCCUGGAAAGAUUCUCUGGGAAAGAUUAGAAUUAGGGGCUUCAGCCCAUUGCAUUGAGAGCACAGUGUGGGACUCUCCAAGUGUCACUUAUAGUUAUUUUUAGCAGGCUCUUUCCUCAAGAAUCUAUGGAUUUCUUGCCAGAUGGAUGGGCUGGGUUAUUUCAGCAACCCACUAGAACCAGGGGCUUCCCCAACAGAGGACCUGAGCCAGAACAAAGAGAAGCCAAGGACCGUAUUUGAGCCAUAAAAGCCCCAUUAGGACGCUAAGAAUAACUCACAGAAAGACAUUUUAUAUAAAUUGGACACGAAUUCACAAAAACCAGAGCGUUCAUUUGUCUCCACCCCAAGGGGUCCAUAGCUGGGGCAGGGGGGCUGGGCGUGAGGGGGGCCAGUGCCUAUCCUAUUUGAUCUUUAUCUUAAAUCCACUUCAAAAAGCUGCGGAGAGGCGGAGUUGGAGGUUCACCCCUUCCUGUAAUUAUUUGGUGUCUAGUAAAGUUUUUAUGAGUGUCUGUGC